rnacentral:ncRNA from 1 species
AAAAAAUUUUAUUUUGGUUUAAAAUAUUAGUAAAUAAUUUUAAAAUAUAUGUAAAUUUUUGUGAGAAUUAAUUUAAAUUUUAAAAAUUUAAAUUUUAAAAAUUAUUCGCAGUUUAUAAUUUUUUAUAUUUAAGAAAUUAAGAUUAAGAAAUUUAUUAUAAUAUUAACAAAAUUUGUGCCAGCAGUUGCGGUUAUACAAAUAAUAUAAUUAAUAUUUAUUAAUUAAUAAUUAAUUGUUAUUAUUUUAAAUUAAAUUUAAAUUUAUUAAGUGAAAUUUUAAAUUUAAUUAAUUUUAGAAUAAAAUUUAUGAAGUUAUUAAAUUUUCUUUUAAACUAGGAUUAGAUACCCUAUUAUUAAAAAUGUAAAUAUAAAAAUAUUAAAUUAGUAUUAGUUAUUUUCUUGAAAAUUAAAAAAUUUGGCGGUAUUUUAGUCUUUUCAGAGGAACCUGUUCUAUAAUCGAUAAUCCACGAUUAAAUGUACUUAUUUUAUUAGUUUAUAUAUCGUCGUAGUUUGAAUAUUUUAUAAGAAUAUAAAUAUUCAAAAUUUAAAAUAAUAAAAAAAAUCAGAUCAAGGUAUAGCUUAUGAAUAAGAAGAAAUGGGUUACAAUAAAUUUAUUUAUUAUGGAUAAAAUAUUGUAAAAUAUUUUUGAAAGCGGAUUUGAAAGUAAUAUAAUUAAUUUAAAUUAUAUGAUUUAAGCUCUAAAAUAUGCACAUAUCGCCCGUCGCUCUCGUAUAAAAUGAGAUAAGUCGUAACAAAGUAGAUGUACUGGAAAGUGUAUCUAGAAUGG